GACGAACGCUGGCGGCGUGCUUAACACAUGCAAGUCGAGGGCACUAUUGGGGCAACCUGGUAGUGACCGGCGAACGGGUGCGUAACACGUGAGCGACCUUGCCUCGUGGUGGGGGAUAGCCGGCCCAACGGCCGGGUAAUACCGCAUAUGGUAGUUUCUUCGCAUGAGGAGACUAGCAAAGCCUUGGAGCAAUCCAAUGGCACCACGAGGGGGGC
rnacentral:rRNA from 1 species